GAGAGAGCUCAGAGAGACGACUCUUCCUAAAAAUCACUUUCACGUUCCAUACGAUACUCCAGCAAUGCCCCUUCUGUGGGCUUGAAGUCAGGCAUGGAGCUGAGAUUCCUGCUGCUGCUGCUCUGCAUCUCAGUUCUUGGGCUGUGUUUAGUCCAAGCACUUGAGUGCAGGACACAGAGGGGGCAGCAGGCACCCUUGCUCCAUCCCAACUCUUACUGAGCAGGUCUGGUGUUUUCCAGGAUUCCAGGCACAACUCUAUGACACCAUGGAGAGCAGAGUGGAGGGGCAGAGGCUCGUUGUUGAGUGUCGCUACAGAUUCCCGGAUUACAGUGCAACACAGAAAACCUGGUGCCAGCUGAGAGGUGAGAUAUGCUCUCCCUUAGUUAGCACCUCUUACACAUCAUAUGGAUACCAAGCCAAGGUUACCUCUAGAAGAGUCACGAUAGAGGAUGACACCCGCAAGGGGAUUGUAACCAUCACCAUGGAGAAGCUGCAGGUGCAGGACUCCGGAGUGUACUGGUGUGCGCUCUAUUACCCACCCAAUACACUGUAUCAGCUAAAGACAAUUAAACUGGAUGUUUCCAUGGGUAAGUUAAUUUCCUUUCAGGAGAACUGUCUUUUCCACUGACUAUAAUCCCAAUCCUCCCCUCACUUUAUCAUCUCUCCCCUGCCUGUAUCGAUUCCUCCUGCCUGCCCCCAGAAUUUGUCACCCUCCACAAACCCUUGUCUCCUCUCUCCUGUCUCACACUGGAAACUGCUCUGAAUCAUCAGCUAACCUAGCAAUU